CCCCGUGUAGCUCAGUUGGUAGAGCAUGGUGUUUGCAAUGCCAGGGUUGUGGGUUCGAUUCCCACGGGGG
rnacentral:tRNA from 1 species